rnacentral:pre_miRNA from 1 species
AGGGGAUCGCCUGAUCCUGGGCUGUGUUCCCUGGUGUCCUGGGCUCCAGGGCUUGCACUGCUAGAAUCACGCUCUCCAGGUUGUGCUGCCCCCU